GCAGUGGUGGUCCAGUAGUAGAAUGCUCACCUUCCAUGUGGGAAACCUGGGUCUGAUUCCUGACCAAUGCA
rnacentral:tRNA from 1 species